rnacentral:rRNA from 1 species
UACGUAGGGUCCGAGCGUUGUCCGGAAUUAUUGGGCGUAAAGAGCUCGUAGGCGGUCUGUCGCGUCGGCUGUGAAAACACGGGGCUCAACUCCGUGCCUGCAGUCGAUACGGGCAGACUAGAGUUCGGUAGGGGAGACUGGAAUUCCUGGUGUAGCGGUGAAAUGCGUAGAUAUCUGGAGGAACACCGGUGGCGAAGGCGGCGA